GAUGAACGCUGGCGGUAUGCCUAACACAUGCAAGUCGUACGAGAGUUUUUUAACUCUAGUGGCGGACGGGUGAGUAACACGUGAGAAUUUGCCUUUAGGAGGGGAUAACAAUUGGAAACGAAUGCUAAUACCCCAUAUGCUUUUGAGUGAAAUGGAUUUUAUCCGCCUAGAGAGAAGCUCGCGGCUGAUUAGCUUGUUGGUAAGGUAAGAGCUUACCAAGGCGACGAUCAGUAUCUGGUUUGAGAGGACGAUCAGACACACUGGAACUGAGACACGGUCCAGACUCCUACGGGAGGCAGCAGUGGGGAAUAUUGCACAAUGGACGAAAGUCUGAUGCAGCAACGCCGCGUGGAGGAUGACACAUUUCGGUGCGUAAACUCCUUUUAUAUAGGAAGAUAAUGACGGUACUAUAUGAAUAAGCACCGGCUAACUCCGUG
rnacentral:rRNA from 1 species